rnacentral:rRNA from 1 species
AUUGAACGCUGGCGGCAUGCCUUACACAUGCAAGUCGAACGGCAGCACGGGUGCUUGCACCUGGUGGCGAGUGGCGAACGGGUGAGUAAUACAUCGGAACAUGUCCUGUAGUGGGGGAUAGCCCGGCGAAAGCCGGAUUAAUACCGCAUACGAUCCACGGAUGAAAGCGGGGGACCUUCGGGCCUCGCGCUAUAGGGUUGGCCGAUGGCUGAUUAGCUAGUUGGUGGGGUAAAGGCCUACCAAGGCGACGAUCAGUAGCUGGUCUGAGAGGACGACCAGCCACACUGGGACUGAGACACGGCCCAGACUCCUACGGGAGGCAGCAGUGGGGAAUUUUGGACAAUGGGCGAAAGCCUGAUCCGGCAAUGCCGCGUGUGUGAAGAAGGCCUUCGGGUUGUAAAGCACUUUUGUCCGGAAAGAAAUCCUUGGCUCUAAUACAGUCGGGGGAUGACGGUACCGGAAGAAUAAGCACCGGCUAACUACGUG